rnacentral:rRNA from 1 species
AAUGAACGUUGGCGGCGUGGAUUAGGCAUGCAAGUCGAGCGAGAACCCUCCUUCGGGAGGGGGACAGCGGCAAACGGGGUAGGAGGACGUCGGUGACGUACCCUCAGGACCGGGAUAGUCAAGGGAAACUUUGGGUAAUACCGGAUAACAUCUGCGGAUCAAAUGGUGUGAUUCCGCCUGGGGAGCGGCUGACGCGGUAUUAGCUAGUUGGUAGGGUAACGGCCUACCAAGGCGAAGAUGCCUGGGGGGUGUGAGAGCAUGGCCCCCACCACUGGGACUGGGAUACUGCCCAGACACCUACGGGUGGCUGCAGUCGAGAAUCUUCGGCAAUGGGCGCAAGCCUGACCGAGCGACGCCGCGUGCGGGAUGAAGGCCUUCGGGUUGUAAACCGCUGUCAGGGGGGAUGAAAUGCCUGGGAGCUAUCUCCCAGGCUUGACAGAGCCCCAGAGGAAGCACGGGCUAAGUUCGUGCCAGCCGCCGCGGUAAGAC